rnacentral:rRNA from 1 species
AUUGAACGCUGGCGGCGGGCCUAACACAUGCAAGUCGAACGAGUGGCGGACGGGUGAGUAAUGUCUGGGAAACUGCCUGAUGGAGGGGGAUAACUACUGGAAACGGUAGCUAAUACCGCAUACCAUCGGAUGUGCCCAGAUGGGAGUAGCUAGUAGGUGGGGUAACGGCUCACCUAGGGGACGAUCCCUAGCUGGUCUGCGAGGAUGACCAGCCACCCGGGAACUGUGACACGGGCCAGACUCCGACGGGAGGCAGCAGUGGGGAAUAUGGCACAAUGGGCGAAAGCCGGAUGCAGCCAUGCCGCGUGGAUGAAGAAGGCCUUCGGGUUGUAAAGUACUUUCAGCGGGGAGGCGUUACCCGCAGAAGAAGCACCGGCUAACUCCGUGCCAGCAGCCGCGGUAAUAC